rnacentral:rRNA from 1 species
UACGUAGGGUGCAAGCGUUGUCCGGAAUUAUUGGGCGUAAAGAGCUCGUAGGCGGUUUGUCGCGUCUGCUGUGAAAUCUCGGGGCUCAACUCCGAGCUUGCAGUGGGUACGGGCAGACUAGAGUGCGGUAGGGGAGACUGGAAUUCCUGGUGUAGCGGUGGAAUGCGCAGAUAUCAGGAGGAACACCGGUGGCGAAGGCGGCGACCUGGUCCGUGACUGACGCUGAGGCGCGAAAGCGUGGGGAGCAAACAGG